GCCGGUGUAGCUCAGUUGGCAGAGCAGCGCACUCGUAAUGCGCAGGUCUCCAGUUCAAGUCUGGACACCGGCUCCA
rnacentral:tRNA from 1 species